rnacentral:lncRNA from 1 species
CAAUAUCUUUUUUUCGAAAAUAUGUGCUACAGUAUGUCAUUAAAUAAAUGAUAAACACACUACGAAACAACACUUUAUACAAAUGGAAAAAAGACAACAACACUUUAUAUAAAUGGAAGAAAGACAAGAACAAUUUACAGAUAACCCUGUACAAUACUGUAGCAUAUCCCAUAUAUUCAAUCUACAACAUGUCCUUAGAUAUUCCCCGGCGGAACAGCGGCGACACCAUAUCCACCACCAUAUUACCUCUUUUUCUGCGAGUACACCACCAUAUCGCCUCUACCCAUGCUCCUGAGUAGUCGAUCUCCAGCGACGAGAACAACAUGGUAUAGUCGUUGCCUGCGCGUGGACAACCAAAUACUGUCUCAAAAAUUCAGAAAUAAAACAGUGAACACAAGAUGGUGGGGCAAGGCACUGACAGACCGCAAGGUCGAGGGAGAAGUCGGG